CAGCACCAUGCUUCUUGUACAGCCUGAGGAACCUUCCAUUGUGAGUGCUGUGGCUUGUGUUUCACAUCGUGUGACAACCUGUGGCCCUGCAUCUCCCAGACACAGUGCCAGGGUAAGUCCCAGGCCAGGCACACCACUAACUGACUGAAGAACCCUUGGACCUUGAGGGAACAUUGGUGGUAGCUUGGCAAUACUCUCUGUGGGCCUGUGGUGGUGGCGGCCACAGGUGAG